GACGAACGCUGGCGGCGUGCUUAACACAUGCAAGUCGAACGAUGAAGCCCAGCUUGCUGGGUGGAUUAGUGGCGAACGGGUGAGUAACACGUGGGCAACCUGCCCCAAACUCUGGGAUAACUCCUCGAAAGAGGUGCUAAUACCGGAUACGAACUAGACAGACAUCUGUACUAGUUGGAAAGUUUUUCGGUUUGGGAUGGGCCCGCGGCCUAUCAGCUUGUUGGUGAGGUAACGGCUCACCAAGGCUACGACGGGUAACCGGCCUGAGAGGGCGACCGGUCACACUGGGACUGAGACACGGCCCAGACUCCUACGGGAGGCAGCAGUGGGGAAUAUUGCGCAAUGGGCGAAAGCCUGACGCAGCGACGCCGCGUGAGGGAUGAAGGUCUUCGGAUCGUAAACCUCUAUCAGUAGGGACGAAGCGAAAGUGACGGUACCUAAAGAAGAAGCACCGGCUAACUACGUGCCAGCAGCAGCCGCGG
rnacentral:rRNA from 1 species